UCCGAUAUAGUGUAACGGCUAACAUACCUCGUUCUCACCGUUCUCGCCGAGGAGCUCGGGGUUCGAUUCCCCGUAUCGGAG